CCUACGGGGGGCAGCAGUGAGGAAUAUUAGUCAAUGGACGAGAGUCUGAACCAGCCAAGUAGCGUGAAGGAUGACUGCCCUAUGGGUUGUAAACUUCUUUUAUAAAGGAAUAAAACGAGGCACGUGUGCCUUUUUGCAUGUACUUUAUGAAUAAGGAUCGGCUAACUCCGUGCCAGCAGCCGCGGUAAUACGGAGGAGCCGAGCGUUAUCCGGAUUUAUUGGGUUUAAAGGGAGCGUAGAUGGGUUGUUAAGUCAGUUGUGAAAGUUUGCGGCUCAACCGUAAAAUUGCAAUUGAUACUGGCAGUCUUGAGUACAGUUGAGGUAGGCGGAAUUCGUGGUGUAGCGGUGAAAUGCUUAGAUAUCACGAAGAACCCCGAUUGCGAAGGCAGCUUACUAAACUGUGACUGACAUUGAUGCUCGAAAGUGUGGGGAUCAAACAGGAUUAGAUACCCUUGUAGUC
rnacentral:rRNA from 1 species